CGGAGGGUGCAAGCGUUAUCCGGAUUUACUGGGUUUAAAGGGUGUGUAGGCGGGUCUUUAAGUCAGUGGUGAAAUCUCCGAGCUCAACUUGGAAACUGCCAUUGAUACUAUUGAUCUUGAAUUCUGUUGAGGUUGGCGGAAUAUGUCAUGUAGCGGUGAAAUGCAUAGAUAUGACAUAGAACUCCGAUUGCGAAGGCAGCUAACUAAGCAGAUAUUGACGCUGAGGCACGAAAGCGUGGGGAUCAAACAGGAUUAGAUACCCUGGUAGUCCACGCCCUAAACGAUGAUUACUCGACAUACGCGAUACACAGUGUGUGUCUGAGCGAAAGCAUUAAGUAAUCCACCUGGGAAGUACGACCGCAAGGUUG
rnacentral:rRNA from 1 species